rnacentral:rRNA from 1 species
AAUAGAUACCCCAGGUAGUCCACGCCGUAAAACGAUGGAUGCUAGCUAUUGGGGGGAAUCGACCCCCUCCGAAGCGAAGCUAACGCGUUAAGCAUCCCGCCUGAGUAGUACGAGCGCAAGCUUAAAACUCAAAGGAAUUGACGGGGACCCGCACAAGCGGUGGAGCGUGUGGUUUAAUUCGAUGGUAAACGAAGAACCUUACCAAGGUUUGACAUCCCGGUAGCCGUUCUCCGAAAGGAGAAUUUCAUUUAGUUGGACCGGUGACAGGUGAUGCAUGGCCGUCGUCAGCUCGUGUCGUGAGAUGUUGGGUUAAGUCCCGCAACGAGCGCAACCCUUAUGAUUUAGUUGGAUUUUUCUAAACAGACUGCCCUGGUAACAGGGAGGAAGGAGGGGAUGAUGUCAGGUCAGUAUUUCCCUUACACCUUGGGCGACACACGCGCUACAAUGGCCGGUACAAUGGGCAGCUAAGCCGCGAGGUGGAGCAAAUCCCAUCAAAGCCGGUCCCAGUUCGGAUUGCAGGCUGAGACCCGCCUGCAUGAAACCGGAAUCGCUAGUAACC